rnacentral:rRNA from 1 species
GCCCAUAUUCCUACGGGAAGCAGCAGUAGGGAAUUUUCCACAAUGGGCGAAAGCCUGAUGGAGCAAUGCCAUGUGAACGACGAAGGCCUAGACGGUUGUAAAGUUCUUUUAGGGGGGAAGACUAUGACGGUACCCCCUGAAUAAGUGACAGCAAACUAUGUGCCAGCAGCUGCGGUAAUACAUAGGUCGCGAGCGUUAUUCGGAUUUAUUGGGCGUAAAGCAAGCGCAGGCGGAUUGAUAAGUUCUGUGUUAAAAGCAGCUGCUCAACAGUUGUUUGCACCGAAUACUGUCAGUCUAGAAUGUGGUAGGGAGUUUCGGAAUUAAAUAUGGAGCGGUGGAAUGUGUAGAUAUAUUUAAGAACACCAGAAGCGAAGGCGGAAACUCAGGCCAUUAUUGACGCUUAGGCUUGAAAGUGUGGGGAGCAAAUGGGAUUAGAUACCCCAGUAGUCCACACCGUAAACGAUGGGUAUUAGAUGUCGGGGCUUGAGCUUCGGCGUUGUAGCUUACGUGUUAAAUACCCCGCCUGGGUAGUACAUAUGCAAAUAUGAAACUCAAAGGAAUUGACGGGGACCUGAACAAGUGGUGGAACAUGUUGCUUAAUUCGAUAAUACACGAAAAACCUUACCAAGGUUUGACAUCCCCCGCGAAGCCAUGGAAACAUGGUGGAGGUUAUCGGGGUGACAGGUGGUGCAUGGUUGUCGUCAGCUCGUGUCGUGAGAUGUUUGGUUAAGUCCCGCAACGAGCGCAACCCUACUCUUUAGUUGUCUAUUCUAGAGAGACUGAACAGUAAUGUAUAGGAAGGUUGGGAUCACGUCAAAUCAUCAUGCCCCUUAUGCCUUGGGCUGCAAACGUGUUACAAUGGCGAGUACAAUGUGCAGCAAGCUAGCGAUAGUAAGCAAAUCACCGAAAACUCGUCUCAGUUCGGAUAGGAGGCUGCAAUUCGCCUCCUUGAAGUUGGAAUCACUAGUAAUCCCGUGUCAGCCAUAUCGGGGUGAAUACGUUCCCAGGUCUUGUACACAC